rnacentral:rRNA from 1 species
GACGAACGCUGGCGGCGUGCCUAAUACAUGCAAGUAGAACGCACAGUUUAUACCGUAGCUUGCUACACCAUAAACUGUGAGUUGCGAACGGGUGAGUAACGCGUAGGUAACCUGCCUGGUAGCGGGGGAUAACUAUUGGAAACGAUAGCUAAUACCGCAUAAUAUUGAUUAUUGCAUGAUAAUUAAUUGAAAGGUGCAAUUGCAUCACUACCAGAUGGACCUGCGUUGUAUUAGCUAGUAGGUGAGGUAACGGCUCACCUAGGCGACGAUACAUAGCCGACCUGAGAGGGUGAUCGGCCACACUGGGACUGAGACACGGCCCAGACUCCUACGGGAGGCAGCAGUAGGGAAUCUUCGGCAAUGGACGAAAGUCUGACCGAGCAACGCCGCGUGAGUGAAGAAGGUUUUCGGAUCGUAAAGCUCUGUUGUAAGAGAAGAACGGGUGUGAGAGUGGAAAGUUCACACUGUGACGGUAGCUUACCAGAAAGGGACGGCUAACUACGUG